rnacentral:lncRNA from 1 species
AUGAAGAACUGCAUUAAUUACAGCCUACAAUUCUGUUUCAUGCAUCCUCUUUCAGAGCCAAGGAGAGAGGAGAGAAAAUGUGUGCUGUUGGAAAUCUGUACUCCCAUUUUCUUCCUCUUCAUGGAAAAUAGCUUUUCUGAAAGGUUUUCCUGUGAACUCUCCUCCUGUGACCACACCGCAGACAAGACUUCACCGAGUAGAGCAUCUGGUCUGCAGUUCUUCGAAUUCUCUGAAGUAGUCAUGGCUCAGGGCUGGCACUGCGGUGUAGUAAGGCAAGCCUUCGCCUGUGGUGUCAACAUCCCGUAUGGAUGCCCAUUUGUGUCCCGGCUGCUCCACUUCCGAUCCAGCUCUCUGCUAUGGCCUGGGAAGGCAGUGGAAGAUGGCCCAAGUGCUUGGAUCCCUGCAGCCACAUGGGAGACUGUGAGGAAGCUCUUGGCUCCUGGCUUCAGAUUGACUCAGUUCCAGCCAUUGCAGCCAUCUGGGGAGUUAACCAGUGUAUGGAACACCUCUCUCUGUCUCUCCGUAACUCUACCUCGCAAAUAAAUAAAUAAAUAAAUAAAUCUUUAAAAGAAAUAGUCGUGG